UGACCUCGGAUCAGGUAGGGAUACCCGCUGAACUUAAGCAUAUCAAUAAGCGGAGGAAAAGAAACCAACAGGGAUUGCCUUAGUAACGGCGAGUGAAGCGCCCCACCCCUCUCAAAUAGAA
rnacentral:rRNA from 1 species